rnacentral:rRNA from 1 species
CCUACGGGAUGCAGCAGUGAGGAAUAUUGGUCAAUGGACGAGAGUCUGAACCAGCCAAGUCGCGUGAAGGAUGACUGCCCUCUGGGUUGUAAACUUCUUUUAUAUGGGAAUAAAAUGUUCCACUUGUGGGAUUUUGUAUGUACCAUAUGAAUCCGGAUCGGCUAACUCCGUGCCAGCAGCCGCGGUAAUACGGAGGAUCCGAGCGUUAUCCGGAUUUAUUGGGUUUACAGGGAGCGUAGGUGGAUUGUUAAGUCAGUUGUGAAAGUUUGAGGCUCAACCGUAAAAUUGCAGUUGAAACUGGCAGUCUUGAGUACAGUAGAGGUGGGCGGAAUUCGUGGUGUAGCGGUGAAAUGCUUAGAUAUCACGAAGAACACCGAUUGCGAAGGCAGCUCACUGGACUGCAACUGACACUGAGGCACGAAAGCGUGGGGAUCAAACAGGAUUAGAUACCCUAGUAGUC